rnacentral:ribozyme from 1 species
ACCAGUUAAGACCGGCCAUGUUAUCUAGGAUGCAAAAAAAUAUGUCGAAACUAAGUAAGAAUAUCUCAUAACGUCCACGACGUGCAGAACGGUAACUUGUCGCCUAGAUCCAAGCUUGGGUACACGGGGAAACCCAACCCCUUGGGCGGAUGAGCGGCAAGGCUGAAUUGAGAGGU